GUGUCAGCAGCCGCGGUAAGACGAACCGUGCGAACGUUGUUCGGAAUCACUGGGCUUAAAGGGCGCGUAGGCGGGCUGCCAAGUCCGGGGUGAAAUCUUUCGGCUUAACCGGAAAAGUGCCUUGGAUACUGGCGGUCUCGAGGGAGAUAGGGGUAUGUGGAACUUCCGGUGGAGCGGUGAAAUGCGUUGAUAUCGGAAGGAACGCCGGUGGCGAAAGCGACGUACUGGAUCUCUUCUGACGCUGAGGCGCGAAAGCCAGGGGAGCGAACGGGAUUAGAUACCCGUGUAGUCC
rnacentral:rRNA from 1 species